GCGGCGGCGGGCAGGCCCAGGCGGCGGCAGAGGCCCAGCGCCGCGGCCUGCAGCGCCCCGACGUAGGCGCGCAGCGAGAGGCCGAGGCGCCGCAGGUCCAGCACGGGGUAGGCCAGCAGCUGGCCCGGGCCGUGGAAGAACGUGACUCACCGUUCAAGGUGACUGCACCUGAAUUUCUCCACCUCUCCUGAGGUCCAGCAGGGUUACUCACUCUCGACUUCCCCAGCUGUUGCCUGCGUCUCACUCCCAUCUGAGCAGGGCCCCUUUGAAAUCCCAGCCCUACACAGGACUAGCUAAAGAUGAUGUUUAUACAACACCUUUCUUCCUGGAAGAUCUCAGAGGAGGGGCAAUCCACCUACUACUGAAAUGCAGCCACUUCUGCGGAGCAACAGAGCCGUCAUUUAACAGCCUGCGAGUCUGAAGUUAAGCAGGACAACAAUUAUCUCCCCUGCUAUUACAAUAAGUGGCAGCCGCGUUUCAACAACCACAGAUUUUAGAAUGGAAUUCAGGAUCUUUGACUUAUUGUUGAUUCCACCUUCUACUAGCCUUGCUCCUGGUGUGUGGUCCCACUGAUUCCAACAGGACUCCUUGUGGAAGAGGUAUCCACGACAUGACUGUCACCAUGAUGAGUCCUUGGGUUUUGCUUCUGCUGAUGCUGAUGGCUCUGGCUCUGAGCAUCUGUCUGGAUGUCGGCCCUGGAACCUGGGGCUGUGCCAAUUACCGGGGUUACUGCCGGGCCGCCUGCUUUCCCCAGGAGAAUUCUCUGGGCCCCAAGGACUGUGCUGAAGGGUUUGUCUACUGUGUGUCAGGUGCUUUUGGAUAAGAGUGGCUUAGGCCGAGGAGUCGAUGGUAUAUGAGAUGAAGCCCCACGGAGACUUUGCAGGCAUUGGGAAGAACACAAGAUGCUAAUAUCAAUGCUCAAUAAUUAUCAGCAAGUCCCGGAACCUGCACAAAACCUUCACUGUUUCAUUACAAUGAAUAGGGUGUGGAUAAUUUUGGUCUUGAUCCUUCCCAUUGAAAUCAGUGGGAAAAUCCCUAUUGACUUCAAUGGGAGAAGGAUGGGGCUGUUUCUCUGCCUUCUGUAAUUAUAUUUAUCCAGUGUAGCAGCAUAAGUACCAGAUUUGGCUUUAUGAUUUUGGGAACCUUCAGUCAGAUUAUAACCUGCAGAGGGCAAACCCAGCUCUGCUCUCUCUUCUCAUUCCCUAUCCACAAUCUAUCCCUCUUCCAUUUUCUCUGCCAAAUGGACACAUAGGAUAUAGAGUACCGAUCAAUGUGCUCAAAGAUGAAGCGGACUCAAAGUCCCCAAGUUCAUUGUGGGACUGUCCUGCCAACUGGGUGGGUCUGGUACACUGGGAUGGCCCGCAAGUUUCACAUAUUCCUAAAACCAACCCAGAUGUUCUGUGACAGGCCCUGUUUCUUUUGUUUAGGGAUCAAGCCACUACAAUGCUUGACUGAUAUUUCAGUGAUCACUACAGACCCUGCAACAGAGAGGCUCAUUUCUGAAAAAUGAGGUUCUGAUUGUGCUUUAGAUUUCUAACAAAUCUCGUCAGGGUAGGCUGAGGGCUCAUAUACUGUGGUGAUGGGUGCCCCUGUAAGAACACAGGUAGCUAGAUUAGAUAGAGAAAGGUUUCUGCAAGAGAUUAACUAAAAAAUCAGCAAAUAUCUGGUUUCAGGACAUAAUGCAAGAAAAUGUUAUUCUGCCUUUGACGAUGCACCGCAUACAAAUUGUUAUUAUGUGAGUUCAAUACCAUAGACUCACAAUGACUGGCAGACUAUAUGGGAUACAAUCUUUCACCAGUUUGAAUCCAACCCUUGGUCAAUAUAACCAUAUAAGGACUCUCCAGUACCUGAUGUGAAAUGCUUUAGUGGGUCUCAGUACAGAUGUUUUGGAAAGGUAUCCAGAUCACAAAUGCCGCCCAAACUGGCACAAACUUAUUCCCUUCUCUGCAAUAUCAGCAAAAGGACCAAGGUUUGGACAAUUAGUGAGACAAGGUGGGUGAAUAUUUUAUUGGACCAAAUUCUGAAAGCUUGUCUCUCUCUCACCAACAAAUAGUGUUACCUCACUCACCUUGUCUCCCUAAUAUCCUGGGACCAACACAGCUACAAGUGCACAGCAUACAAGAUUUCAGUAGACAUGGAGACUGAAGUCACCCCUGGAAGUGGUCUUUCUGAACUCCCUUCUGACUCUUAGAAGUGUCUUCUCCAGCUCAGGGAGGAGGCAUAUUUGAAGAGGAAACUCACACGGAUGCUGCCAGGAUAGUAGCAGAUACCACAGUGAUAGGCACUGUAUAAAAACCUGAAUAGAACAGAUUAGUUCUGUAGACUAACAGAAGUGUUCAGGGUCCAGGAACUCAUUUCUCCUACCACUGCAUCCAAGUAACUCCCAGUGAAGUCAAGUCGUUAUUUGUAUCCAGUGGCAAAAGAAUUUGGCUCCAACAUUGUCAGUUUGUGGGCCCUUCACCAGCACUACAUUUUCUUAGAGAAGAGCGGUCUAUUCACUCAUCAUGUCCAUCUCUCUGGCUGAUGCAGGAUUGCUCUCCACAGUACUGUAUAUACUCGAGCAUACAAUCAAUGAAUGACCCAACUUGUGGGUGAUACCUUUUCAUUGGACUUACUGGAAGGCAAAAAGAACUCGUGUGUGAUUCUUGACAACUGCUGAUUUAUUAUUUCUAAUUAAGACCAUAGCUGGAUAUUGUUGGCUAUAAUAAUGGGGUGGGGAGAGGGAGUUAUUUUUUGAUAGUGUAAUCAAUUGUAUUCAUUACAGAGCAGUAAAAGCUUUGCUUGAGAAUGUCUCGAGUGUUUCUGGUGGGUGCAGGUUAAAAAUAUCUGAAAUAACAUCUCUCUUCUCUUCUCAGAUUAAUUGAAUUGCAUUUUAUUGUUCAGGACAAAUAAAGGUUGUUUAACU